CCAGACUCCUACGGGAGGCAGCAGUGGGGAAUAUUGGACAAUGGGGGAAACCCUGAUCCAGCGACGCCGCGUGAGUGAAGAAGUAUUUCGGUAUGUAAAGCUCUAUCAGCAGGGAAGAAAGAAAUGACGGUACCUGACUAAGAAGCCCCGGCUAACUACGUGCCAGCAGCCGCGGUAAUACGUAGGGGGCAAGCGUUAUCCGGAUUUACUGGGUGUAAAGGGAGCGUAGACGGCGAUGCAAGUCUGAAGUGAAAGGCGGGGGCCCAACCCCCGGACUGCUUUGGAAACUGUAUGGCUGGAGUGCAGGAGAGGUAAGUGGAAUUCCUAGUGUAGCGGUGAAAUGCGUAGAUAUUAGGAGGAACACCAGUGGCGAAGGCGGCCUACUGGACUGUAACUGACGUUGAGGCUCGAAAGCGUGGGGAGCAAACAGGAUUAGAUACCCCAGUA
rnacentral:rRNA from 1 species